rnacentral:sRNA from 1 species
UUGACUGCUCUGGAGAAAAAAAUCCUCACAUUAGCCACAGACCAGGAACCCAUGGAGAGUUCAAUGCAAGCUUCUCCACAGUGAAUCUACUAAUAUGCCUCAGCUCUAUUCAGGAGGAACCACCUUUAGGAUGACAAUGGUUCAGUUUCCAUUCCCAUUUAAUCUGUGUCCUCU